rnacentral:misc_RNA from 1 species
CCUCGACGGUGUGGUGUUGCGUCUAGACAAGCUGGCAUCCUCCGCAAGAAACUCUGGAGCAUUAUUGCCGUUCAGAUCCGCUACUGUUACCGGUGCCGCGUCCCGUGCUGGAGAUGCUGUUGCGGGACCGCUCGUGAGAGCAGGACGGUCCGUGUUCUUCUUGCUGAAUUCUUGAACAGCCUGCAACAAUCAAAGCCACCUAGAAUACAUGAUAGUUUUCAUAUGAGCAAUUAUUCAAGCUUCCACAUCAAGAAACUAACUACAGGGCUAUCAGGACCAUCCAGAAACAUUCAGAAUCCACCAGUGACAACCCAGCGUUUACUCUUGCUCUAAUUAAUGGGAUGUACUGGGUCCAUUAAGGGUCGAUUUGG